rnacentral:tRNA from 1 species
GGGGCUGUAGUUUAAGUUAAACCGCUGGGUUUACAUCCCUGAAAUGCGCUACCGCCGGUCCCU